GUUGUCGUGGACUGUGGCAGGCCUGUCAAAGCUGCUAGAAAGAAUUAACUCGGGCUGGAGAGAUGGCUCAGCCGUUAAAGGCUAGGCUCACAACCAAAAAUAUA
ensembl:miRNA predicted gene, 24047